rnacentral:ncRNA from 1 species
CAAAGGCUUGGUCCUGACUUAUUCAUCUGCUGUAGUCAUAUUUACACAUGCAAGUAUCCGCCCCCUGUGAGAAUGCCCCCCUCUUCCAAAAGGAAAGGGGCGAGCUGGUAUCAGGCACACUUAAUUAGUAGCCAUAACACCUUGCUCAGCCACACCCCUAAGGGAACUCAGCAGUGAUAAAUAUUAAGCAAUAAAGUGCAAACUUGACUUAGUAAUGACUAAUAAGGCCGGUAAAUUCGUGCCAGCAACCGCGGUUAUACGAAAGGCCUAAGUUGAUGAAUAGCGGCGUAAAAGCGUGGUUAGGGAACCUCUACACUAAAGUUGAACCCCUUCCUAGUCGUUUAAAACUUAUGAAGGUGAGUAAUACACCUACGAAAGUGACUUUAUACCCCUGACCCCACGAAAGCUAGGAUACAAACUGGGAUUAGAUACCCCACUAUGCCUAGUUGUAAACAAUGAUAUUAUUAUACUUUAAUAUCCGCCUGGGGACUACGAACACUAGUUUAAACCCAAAGGACCUGGCGGUGCUUAAUACCCCCCUAGAGGAGCCUGUUCUAUAACCGAUACCCCCCGUUAAACCUCACCCCCUCUUGCAAUAUUCUGCCUAUAUACCGCCGUCGUCAGCUUACCCUGUCAAGGGAUAAAAGUAAGCAAAAUUGGCAUAGCCCAAAACGUCAGGUCGAGGUGUAGUAUAUGAGGUGGGAAAGAAAUGGGCUACAUUGACUAUUUAGUCUAUACGAAUAACACACUGAAAUGUCUGUUUGAAGGUGGAUUUAGUAGUAAGUAAAAACAGAGUGUUUUACUGAAUGCGGCUCUUAAGCGCGUACACAACCGCCCGUCACCCUCCCCAAAACCUGCUAUAUUAUACAUAAUCUAACAUCGUAUCAAAGGGGAGGGAAGUCGUAACAUGGUAAGUGUACCGGAAGGUGUACUUGGACU